GAUGAACGCUGGCGGCGUGCCUAAUACAUGCAAGUCGAGCGAACGGACGAGAAGCUUGCUUCUCUGAUGUUAGCGGCGGACGGGUGAGUAACACGUGGAUAACCUACCUAUAAGACUGGGAUAACUUCGGGAAACCGGAGCUAAUACCGGGUAAUAUUUUGAACCGCAUGGUUCAAAAGUGAAAGACGGUCUUGCUGUCACUUAUAGAUGGAUCCGCGCUGCAUUAGCUAGUUGGUAAGGUAACGGCUUACCAAGGCAACGAUGCUUAGCCGACCUGAGAGGGUGAUCGGCCACACUGGAACUGAGACACGGUCCAGACUCCUACGGGAGGCAGCAGUAGGGAAUCUUCCGCAAUGGGCGAAAGCCUGACGGAGCAACGCCGCGUGAGUGAUGAAGGUCUUCGGAUCGUAAAACUCUGUUAUUAGGGAAGAACAUAUGUGUAAGUAACUGUGCACAUCUUGACGGUACCUAAUCAGAAAGCCACGGCUAACUACGUG
rnacentral:rRNA from 1 species